GAUCCGGUAGUUCAGCUGGUUAGAAUGCCGCCCUGUCACGGCGGAGGUCGCGGGUUCGAGUCCCGUCCGGAUCCCUA
rnacentral:tRNA from 1 species